GCUGCUGCUGGAAAGGCCAGCCCGGCUGGAGAGACCUGGCAUUGGCGCAUCUGGGAACCGACGUCCGCGCGCGGCUGGCUGGAAUGCUGGACUCGCCUCCGCAGCGCUGGCCUGCAGGGAUUAGAAGACAUGUGGGGUCAAGGAACAGGAAGCUGACCUGGAUGGAAGUUGAACAGUGAUCUUUGCUCUCUGCCUGGCUCCUGAGUCCUCUACCAUGUUCCUGGAGAAGGGGAGCCAGCCAGGUCUUCAUUCAAACCAAACCUUGGAUGGGACCCAUCUGCCUCUGCAGGUGACUGUAACAACAUGCAAAUGGCGAUUUCUGCUGGGGGGUCAAGGAACCUCCCUGGAGGAGGUGUAUCUGGACAACAGGGAAAGAAAGGAGCUGGAGAAGAAAGGCAGAAGAAUUGGGUCCUGGUUCAGGUGAAGUUUUCCCAGCUAGAACAAUGACAAUGUCAAUAUUCCACAAAGGUGGCUUCUGUUUAUUUAGCACUUGCUGUGUUCCCACAAGUCUUCCUCUACCUGCCCUCUCCCCAACCCUCAUCUCACUCUCCCAGAGCCCCAGAGCACACCAAUGGACACCAUCACCUCUCAGGGGCAGAUCAGCACAGAGACGUGAAGCACACAGGCAGCUGCUGGAAAAAUAACGAGGAAUUGCAAUGGUGUGCCCCUCAGUUGAGCGCAAGCUCUCUUCUGCCUUCUCACCUUGGGCAAGUUACCUUCCUGUUCCAGGCCUCAGUUUCUCCAUGUGUGCAGUGAAAGGGCUGCAGAGAAAUCUCUCGCUGUUCCCCAAUCUACAUUCAUUGUGUCCCAAGCCUUCUAAUAUCUGUUCAACAAAGUGUACCAAAUCUCAGCUACUGGACUGAGACUCAGGGGUCUAUCUGACUUGAAUUGAAAAUGCAAAUUACUGAAGAGGGAGGGAGGGAGGAGUGCUGAAGCUUGAAUGGGCUUAUCAGAUUUCCUUCUCCUAUGGCCCAGAUGCAGGCAUAGUCCAGGCGAUUCCUGUGGCUCAGAAUCUGCCAGGUGAUUCCCCUGGCUCAGAAUCUGCCAGGCUCAAGCACUCAUUGACAGCCUACUGUGUACCAAUCCUGGGCUGAGUCCCAACCUGGGGAUGUCUUAGAGGAGGCCAGGAUGUGGCCUCAUGUUCUGGAUGCUCUCAAAUUUAAACAGGCUAAACCCACUUUGCAUUGUAUGUUAGGGGUGGUGCUUGUGGGACAAAGGGGGCUGUCAGAACAUUCUGGAUGCUGCAUGAAGUUGACUUUGCCAGGAGAGACUGAGUUGUGGGGGGAAGGCAGCUACUGUAAUAAUUUGGCGAAGGAGUGGGCUAAGCAGGAGCAGGGGCCGAGCGAGGGAGAGAGGGAAUGAGUAAGAAAGGCCCAGGGUACUGAUUUUACUGGGACUUCAGGGACAGAUGUGGGGCGAGAGGGAUGCUGGAAGUGAAGGAGGGAAAGUGCAGAGGCUUUCUGGGGAUUAAUAGGCAAUGAUCUCUAUGAGGGCGUGGUGAGUAGGCCCCAAACAUCUGGGGACUUCCCUGCCUGCCAUCCCUCUGUUUCUCUCUUCCUUUCCUACUGCCUAAGGCCUGGCCCUGUUGCACAUGCCCUGCCCUGGCCCCCAGAGUCCCCUUCUCUCCUGGCUGGGAGAUUAGGACUCUGCUGUGCCUACAGCAUUCUCAACCUCAAGUCAAGGUGGCCCUUUGGAGCCCAGGAGGCCACAUGGCUGAGUCAGGGCUGAGUCACCACCCCCUAAGGGCCUUGCCAUUUCCUGUGGAGAAGCCUCUUUACUGGCAGGGUUCUGUGCUCAGGUGGGAAAUCUGGAGAGGUCGGGGGCAGGGCUUCAUCUACUUUUACCCACUAACUCCCUAGACACUCCACUGGGGGUAGAGGGUUCCUACGUGUAUGAUGAUCAAAACAUGUGUCUGUGCACAUGGGCCCUUAUGCAUUCACAGGUGUUUGCCUAUGCGACUGCAUGUCUGAAUGUUUUAUGUAUAUUUGAAUAUAGAUAGGGAACAAAUAUUUAUUGAGCACAUAUUAUGUGUGCAGCCUUUUAUGUAUGUUACUUUCUAAUAACCCUAGGAGGUAUAGAUGCCUCCCAGGCUAUGGUUGAACAUACUGACAUGCCCAAGGUGCAGGAGGUAUGAAUACCUCCCCAGUGUGGCUGAUAACACCCUAGGUUUCUCCAACUCCACAAUGAUGGGCUUUCCUCCACAGCCGGUUCCUCAGGGGCAGGAGUAAGAAGUGUGUGUGUCUGUAUUUAUCCUUCCGCCAGUGGCUGUGAUUGGUCCUGUGGUUGGAAACAGGGUCAAGUAAGGCCCUUGGGAGUAGCUGGGUGAAUGGACGAGGGUGGCGUCCACCUUGGACAUGGCACAUACUUCUGGUCCAGUAUCCAUGUGGCUGGCCAACCUGGACCUGCCCUAUUAGGGGCCAUCGUCCUCAUGGCUCAUCAGUGCUGAGUUUUGUUGCCUUCUUCGUAAUGCAAUACUAAUGGAUACAGGAAUGUAUCUGCCGUACACUAGAUGAAACAUGGUUAUUUGCUCAGGUAGAAAUAAAGACUGAAAUACCAAAGUGGG
rnacentral:lncRNA from 1 species